rnacentral:rRNA from 1 species
AGAGCGAACGCUGGCGGCAGGCCUAAUACAUGCAAGUCGAACGGCUCUUCGGAGCAGUGGCGGACGGGUGAGUAACGCGUGGGAAUGUGCCCUUUGGUACGGAACAACUGAGGGAAACUUCAGCUAAUACCGUAUGUGCCCUUCGGGGGAAAGAUUUAUUGCCAUUGGAGCAGCCCGCGUUGGAUUAGCUAGUUGGUGGGGUAAAGGCCCACCAAGGCGACGAUCCAUAGCUGGUCUGAGAGGAUGAUCAGCCACACUGGGACUGAGACACGGCCCAGACUCCUACGGGAGCAGCAGUAGGGAAUCUUGCGCAAUGGGCAAAGCCUGACGCAGCCAUGCCGCGUGAAUGAUGAAGUCUAGGAUUGUAAAAUUCUUUCACCGGGAAGAUAAUGACGGUACCCGAGAAGAAGCCCGACUAACUCGUGCCAGCAGCCGC